UACGAACGCUGGCGGCAGGCCUAACACAUGCAAGUCGAACGAGAAGCCAGAGCUUGCUCUGGUGGAUAGUGGCGCACGGGUGAGUAACGCGUGGGAACCUGCCCUGGGGUGGGGAACAACCGCUGGAAACGGCGGCUAAUACCACAUACGUCCUACGGGAGAAAGACUUCGGUCGCCCCUGGAUGGUCCCGCGUCUGAUUAGCUUGUUGGUGAGGUAACGGCUCACCAAGGCGACGAUCAGUAGCUGGUCUGAGAGGAUGAUCAGCCACACUGGAACUGAGACACGGUCCAG
rnacentral:rRNA from 1 species